rnacentral:rRNA from 1 species
CGCUGGCGGUAUGCUUAACACAUGCAAGUCGAACGGUAGCAGAAGAGAGCUUGCUCUCUUGCUGACGAGUGGCGGACGGGUGAGUAAUGCUUGGGAAUCUGCCUAGUAGUGGGGGACAACACGAGGAAACUCGUGCUAAUACCGCAUACGUCCUACGGGAGAAAGUGGGGGAUCUUCGGACCUCACGCUAUUAGAUGAGCCCAAGUCGGAUUAGCUUGUUGGUGAGGUAACGGCUCACCAAGGCGACGAUCCGUAGCUGGUUUGAGAGGAUGACCAGCCACACUGGGACUGAGACACGGCCCAGACUCCUACGGGAGGCAGCAGUGGGGAAUAUUGGACAAUGGGCGAAAGCCUGAUCCAGCAAUACCGCGUGUGUGAAGAAGGCCUGCGGGUUGUAAAGCACUUUCAAUUGUGAAGAAAAGCUUAGGGCUAAUACCUCUGAGUCUUGACGUUAACUUUAGAAGAAGCACCGGCUAACUCCGUG